AGAGUUUGAUCAUGGCUCAGAACGAACGCUGGCGGCAUGCCUAACACAUGCAAGUCGAACGGGAUCCGAGCUUCGGUUCGGUGAGAGUGGCGGACGGGUGAGUAACGCGUGGGAACCUGCCCAGUGGUGGGGGAUAACUGCGGGAAACUGCAGCUAAUACCGCAUGAGCCCGAGAGGGGAAAGAUUUAUCGCCAUUGGAGGGGCCCGCGUUCGAUUAGGUAGUUGGUGAGGUAACGGCUCACCAAGCCGACGAUCGAUAGCUGGUCUGAGAGGAUGAUCAGCCACACUGGGACUGAGAUACGGCCCAGACUCCUACGGGAGGCAGCAGUGGGGAAUAUUGGACAAUGGGGGCAACCCUGAUCCAGCGACGCCGCGUGGGUGAAGAAGGCCUGCGGGUUGUAAAGCCCUUUCAGUGGGGAAGAAAAGCCUCGACCUAACACGUCGGGGUCUUGACGUAACCCAUAGAAGAAGCACCGGCUAACUCUGUGCCAGCAGCCGCGGUAAUUC
rnacentral:rRNA from 1 species